UAAUUGUAUCUAUUGCAAACAGGUGGUUGGAAGUGAGAGAGGAAUUGUUAGUCAAGAGCUGCCAUUCCGUUGUUCUGUUCCUCUUCUAAAAAAGCAUCAACAUCACCUGGGCAAUUUCCUCACCCCUCCCCACCAGGAACGUUUAAAGGAACUGUAUUAGCUGUAGAAGGUGUCCCAGAGGCUGCUGUUUCCUCAAGAGCAGGGUAUUCAUUUGUCACGUUGCUUGGUGGAACUGUGGUUGCAGAUGGACAAAUGAUAUUGCUGGAAUCACUUUCUCAUCCACUUUGACUUGUCACUCUGACCAGGU